ensembl:lncRNA
CCUUGGUGGCAUCUGGGGACAUCUGGGAGCACCUGGAGACACCUUGGGGACAUGAGGGUGGCAUCUGGGGACACCCGGGUGGCAUCUGGGGACACCUGGGUGGUAUCUGGGGACACCUUGGUGGCAUAUGAGGACACCUGGGAAAACUUAGGGACACCUGGGUGGCAUCUAGGGACAUCUGGGAGCACCUGGCUGGCACUUGGGGACAUCUGGGUGGCACUUGGGGACACCUUGGUGGCACCUGGGGGCACCUGGUGGCAUCUGGGUGGUGUCUAUGGACACCUUAGUGGCAUCUAGGGACAUCUGUGUGGCGCUUGGGGACAUCUGGGAAAACUUAGGGACACCUGGAGGCACCUGGGUGGCACUUGGGGACACCUGGGUGUCAUCUGGGGACACUUGGGGAUGCCUGAGGACACUUUGGUGGCAGCUGGGCCUACCUUGGUGGCACCUUGGGACACCUGGAGGCAUCUGGGGACGCCUUGGUGGAAUCUGGGAACAUCUAGGAGCACCUGGAGACACCUUGGGGACACCUGGGUGGUGUCUAGGGACAUCUGGAGGCACCUGGGUGGCACUUGGGGACACCUUGGUGGUGCUUAGGGACAUCUGGGGACACCUUGGGGACAUCUCAGGACACUUGUGUAGCACCUUGGGACCCCUGGUGGCAUCUGGAGGCACUUGGGGACACCUGGGUGGUGUCUAGGGACAUCUGCAGCACCUCGGUAGCACUUGGGGACACCUAGCUGGCAUCUGGAGACACCUGGGUGGCACUUGGGGACACCCAGGGGUACCUUGGUGGCACUUGGGGAUGCCUGGGGACAUCUGGGUAGCGCCUGGGCACACCUUGGUGGCAUCUGGGGACAUCUGGAGGUACCUGGGUGGCACUUGGGGACACCUGGGAAAACUUAGGGGCAUCUGGGUGGUGUCUAGGGACACCUGGGGACACCUUGGUGGCACCUGGGGGCACCCAGGUGGCAUCUGGGGACAUCUGGGAGCACCGGGAGACACCUUGGGGACAUCUGGGUGGUGUCUAGGGACACCUUGGUGGCAUCUGGGGACACCUGGGGAACACCUUGGUGGCAUCUGGGGACACCUGGGUGGCAUCCGGGUGGCACUUGGGGACACCUGGGUGGCAUCUGGGGACACCUUGGUGGCAUCUGGAGGUGCCUUGGUAGCAUCUGGGGACACCUGGGUGGCAUCAGGGUGGCACUUGGGGACACCUGGGUGGCAUCUGGGUAGCACCUGGGGGCACCUGGAGACAUCUGGAGGCACCUGGUGGCACCUUGGUGGAACUUGGGGGUACCUUGGUAGCAUCUGGGGACACCUGGCGGCAUCUGGGUGGUAUCUAGGGACACCUGGAUGGCAUCUGGAGGCACUUGGGGACACCUGGGUGGCAUCUGGGGACACCUGGCGACAUCUGGGUGGUAUCUGGGGACACCUGGAUGGCAUCUGGAGGCACUUGGGGACACCUGGAUGGCACUUGGGGGUACCUUGGUGGUGUCUAGGGACACCUUGGUGGCAUCUGGAGGCACUUGGGGACACCUGGGUGGCACUUGGGGGUACCUUGGUAGCAUCUGGGGACACCUGGCGGCAUCUGGGUGUUGUCUAGGGACACGUGGGGACACCUGGCUGGCAUCUUAGGGUACCUUGGUGGCAUCUGGGGACAUCUGGGAGCACCUGGAGACACCUUGGGGACAUGAGGGUGGCAUCUGGGGACACCUGGGUGGCAUCUGGGGACACCUGGGUGGUAUCUAGGGACACCUUGGUGGCAUCUGGGGACACCUGGAGGCAUCUGGGUGGUAUCUGGGGACACCUUGGUGGCGUAUGAGGACACCUGGGAAAACUUAGGGACACCCAGGUGGCAUCUGGGGACAUCUGGGAGCACCGGGAGACACCUUGGGGACAUCUGGGUGGUGUCUAGGGACACCUUGGUGGCAUCUAGGGACAUCUGGGGACACCUGGGUGGCAUCUGGGGACACCUGGGUGGCUUCACAUCCAUCCCCAAUGGAUUAAGAAGGAACCUGGGCAGCUCCGUGGGUGGCAUCGUCACCUCCUUGUCACCUCAUCGUUGUCCCCUCCUGUCCCCAGGGAGUUCCUGCGGGAGGCGCUGGCCCCGGCCACCUCGGA